UACGGAGGGUGCAAGCGUUAAUCGGAAUUACUGGGCGUAAAGCGUGCGCAGGCGGUUUGUUAAGUCCGCUGUGAAAUCCCCGAGCUCAACUUGGGAAUUGCAGUGGAUACUGGCAAGCUGGAGUAUGGUAGAGGAAGGUGGAAUUCCCGGUGUAGCAGUGAAAUGCGUAGAGAUCGGGAGGAACACCAGUGGCGAAGGCGGCUUUCUGGACCAAUACUGACGCUCAUGCACGAAAGCGUGGGGAGCAAACAGG
rnacentral:rRNA from 1 species